GAUUCUGGCUCAGGAUUAACGCUGGCGGCGUGCCUAACACAUGCAAGUCGAACGGAAUAUCUUCGGAUAUUUAGUGGCGAACGGGGUGAGUAAUGUACAGGUAAUGUACCUUCGUACUGCGAAUAACAAGCUGAAAAGUUUGCUAAUACGGAAUAGUUUCCUUCGGGGGCAUCCUUAAAGGAAUAAAGAUUUAUCGUGCGGAGAUCAGCCUGUAUCCUAUUAGUUAGUUGGAGGGGUAAUGGCCUACCAAGACGGCGAUGGGUAACUGGUCUGAGAGGAUGAGCAGUCACAUUGGAACUGAGAAACGGUCCAAACUCCUACGGGAGGCAGCAGUGAGGAAUUUUGCGCAAUGGGGGAAACCCUGACGCAAGCAACGCCGCGUGAGUGAUGACGGCCUUCGGGUUGUAAAGCUCUGUCGUGUGUGACGAGUAGGGACGGUAACACACAAGGAAGCCUCGGCUAACUACGUGCCAGCCGCAGC
rnacentral:rRNA from 1 species